rnacentral:rRNA from 1 species
AGUGAACGCUGGCGGUAGGCCUAACACAUGCAAGUCGAACGGCAGCACAGUAAGAGCUUGCUCUUACGGGUGGCGAGUGGCGGACGGGUGAGGAAUACAUCGGAAUCUACUUUUUCGUGGGGGAUAACGUAGGGAAACUUACGCUAAUACCGCAUACGACCUACGGGUGAAAGCAGGGGAUCUUCGGACCUUGCGCGAUUGAAUGAGCCGAUGCCGGAUUAGCUAGUUGGCGGGGUAAAGGCCCACCAAGGCGACGAUCCGUAGCUGGUCUGAGAGGAUGAUCAGCCACACUGGAACUGAGACACGGUCCAGACUCCUACGGGAGGCAGCAGUGGGGAAUAUUGGACAAUGGGCGCAAGCCUGAACCAGCCAUACCGCGUGGGUGAAGAAGGCCUUCGGGUUGUAAAGCCCUUUUGUUGGGAAAGAAAAGCAGCAGGUUAAUACCCCGCUGUUCUGACGGUACCCAAAGAAUAAGCACCGGCUAACUUCGUG